CACGUAGGAGGCAAGCGUUAUCCGGAUUUACUGGGCGUAAAGCGCGUGCAGGCGGUUCAGAAAGUUGGAUGUGAAAGCUCCUGGCUUAACUGGGAGAGGUCGUUCAAUACUUCUGGACUAGAGUAUGGGAGAGGGAGGUUGAAUUCCGGGUGUAGUGGUGAAAUGCGUAGAUAUCCGGAGGAACACCAGUGGCGAAAGCGGCCUCCUGGCCCAAAACUGACGCUCAGACGCGAAAGCUAGGGUAGCAAACGGG
rnacentral:rRNA from 1 species